rnacentral:rRNA from 1 species
CCUACGGGAGGCUGCAGUGGGGAAUAUUGCACAAUGGGGGAAACCCUGAUGCAGCGACGCCGCGUGAGUGAAGAAGUAUCUCGGUACGUAAAGCUCUAUCAGCAGGGAAGAAAAUGACGGUACCUGACUAUGAAGCCCCGGCUAACUACGUGCCAGCAGCCGCGGUAAUACGUAGGGGGCAAGCGUUAUCCGGAUUUACUGGGUGUAAAGGGAGCGUAGACGGCGCUGCAAGUCCGGAGUGAAAGCCCAUGGCUUAACCAUGGUACUGCUCUGGAAACUGUAGGGCUUGAGUGCGGGAGGGGCAGGCGGAAUUCCGAGUGUAGCGGUGAAAGGCGUAGAUAUUAGGAGGAACACCGGCGGCGAAGGCGGCCUGCUGGACCGUAACUGACGUUGAGGCUCGAAAGCGUGGGGAGCAAACAGGAUUAGAUACCCUUGUAGUC